ensembl:lncRNA
AGUAUGUGUAAAACAGGUCAGAGGCCUGCCUCGGAGCAGUAUGUGUAAAACAGGUCAGAGGCCUGCCUCGGAGCAGUAUGUGUAAAACAGGUCAGAGGCCUGCCUCGGAGCAGUAUGUGUAAAACAGGUCAGAGGCCUGCCUCGGAGCAGUAUGUGGGGGGUGAGGGGGGCUCUACAGAUGUUGGGUCUUAAUUUGGACCAUUUUGUCACAGGAAGAAAAUAAUCCUGCAGCAGGAGGAUUUGAAUGAAUAUUGAAUAUUUAGUAUUUCCCGCCAGGGGGCAGCUGGAAGCUGUGUUUGUAGGCUAUUCAAUUCCGUACCUACAUUGUACCUUAGACUGAAAGUCCACUGGGCAUCAGUUCAAGUAGCCUAUGUAGGCUACAGCCCGUCUCAUGUGAAUUCUUAUGUGGAUUAUAAUAAAUUGACAUUCGUAGUGGGGUAGAUGUAUUUUUAAUUUGGGAAAAUGUAUAUUUUUUAUAUAUCAAUUGUUUUAUUAUACACUGAGUAUACCAAACAUUAGGAGUACCUUCCUCAGGGCAUAGACUCUCCAAGGUGUCGAAAGCGUUCCACAUGCUGGCCCAUGUUGAAUCUAAUGCUUCCGACAGUUGUGUCAAGUUGGCUGGAUGUCCUUUGGGUGGUGGACCAUUCUUGAUCAACAUGGGAAACUGUUGAGCAUGAAAACCCCAGUAUUUUUUGUCUUGCCCAUUCACUCUCUGAAUGGCACACAUACACAAUCCAUGUCUCAAUUGUCUCAACAACACAAAAGUCCUUCUUUAACCGGUCUCCUCCUCAUCACCUACAUUAAUUGAAGUGGAUUUCACAAGUUACAUCAAUAAGGGAUCAUAGGUUUCACCUGGUCAGUUUGUCAUGGAAAGAACAGGUGUUCCUAAUGUUUAUUAUACUCAGUGUAUUUCAAGGUAAGCAAUAGGCCCACUGCCCUUUGACCCCUAUCUUCCCAACAAUGUUCUUCAAUUGAAGCAACAAAAAAAAUAUGAAAGGAAUGGGACUUCCCCACUCCUUAAUAAAAUAUCUUUAAUAAAGAUUAAAUCAUUG